rnacentral:rRNA from 1 species
UACGGAGGGGGCGAGCGUUAAUCGGAAUUACUGGGCGUAAAGUGUGCGCAGGUGGCCGCGCAAGUCGAGUGUGAAAUCCCCGAGCUUAACUUGGGAAUUGCGCUCGAAACUACGUGGCUCGAGUGUGGCAGAGGAAGGUGGAAUUCCCCAAGUAGAGGUGAAAUUCGUAGAUAUGGGGAGGAACACCGGUGGCGAAGGCGGCCAUCUGGACGGUUACUGACGCUGAGACGCGAAAGCGUGGGGAGCAAACAGG